rnacentral:misc_RNA from 1 species
GGCUUGUUCUUGUGGAGACUAUUGGUAAUUACUAAUUAUCCGCGGGUACUUUUUCUCAGUUCUUCUGCAUUUCCAUAGCAUAUAUAUUAGUGCUAUUGUUUAAGUGAGAGUAAUUUCCAUUACUGAGUCAUUGUGAGGGGCUGUACUUGGCUUUGCUUGUGUAUUCAGUAAGAUUUUCCUAACUUUAUGCAUGGCUCAAGGGAUGAAGAGGUGAGAGUUUUCUAAAGGAAAAGGAAGUGAGGGGAG